CUGGUCUUCACCCGGUGGCGCAUCUCGCUGGGGCCUCCAAAUGUUGUAACCGAGUGAGUUGUAGAGAAACGCCACACUCUGAGACUAAUUCAGGAGUCCUUUAUUGC
rnacentral:pre_miRNA from 1 species